rnacentral:sRNA from 1 species
UCAUAUGUAGCUGAGGUUCGAGGAAGCC